CUCCCUGGCUCCAAUGCAACGCAGGAGGGAAAAGGAGGGAAAAAGAAGACAAAGGUUCUGGGAGUCAGAGCUGGGGAAAUGAGGCAAUGAACGAGUCCUCUGAAGACCACUCUCAGCCACUAGGCUAGAAAGUCAGCUUCUGCCAAUGAGACCUACUUGGCAAAGGUCACCACUGUCCCUCUGGUGACACACUCUAGCUAACGCUGGGAGCUAAAGGUAGGUCGUAGCACAGGCCGAUAUGGAAGGCGGCUGGAGAAACACUCCCGUGCAUUCAAUGAAGUAGACCAUUUGAAAAGAAUUACCCAGAUUCUGUCACAAACACAGAGGAAAUGGGGUACCUGCAUGGCUUGGUGACUGAGCAUCUACCUUCGGCUCAGGGUGUGAUCCUGGGGUCCUGGGAUCGAGUCCCUGUUGGGCUCCCUGCAGGGAGCCUGCUUCUCCCUCUGCCUGUGUCUCUUGUGAAUAAAUUAAUAAAAUCUUUAAAAAAAUAAAAAACUGAGGAAAAAAGAAUCCUGGUGAAGGUAUCUCUUCGAUAUCACAGCUCUGCGAGGAGGUCUAUCCCCCACUUCGACCCCUUGGGACACAUGGAAAAAAUCCAGAGGUUGGCAGAGACUGUGGUACCCGAGAGGACAAGGGCAUUCGCCGUGGGCUGAGUGCACCAUGAAAGAAAGGAUAAAAGGCAGUGAGUUUCUUACUCAAAAUCAAAGAAAUCAACGCCAACAAUAUGAAAGUGGUAUAAAAAAAAAUGCAAAGAAAUCUUUGGGACCCCCGGACCAGGGCCCAGUUGAAGCAGUACAGCUCAAGGAAGGAUAAUAAGUACUCAAACGGAACAAGAGCUACAUUUCUCUAAGAGCAAACUUGGAGGGCGUUUAAACGGAAUUCCAACCCAGAUUGGUGGAAGCAGCACUCACGUAGUAAGCCUGGUGAAAAUGCGCUUCAUCGUUGUAAUUAAGCUACCGAACAGGCUGUCUCCUUAACAUGAGGUGCAUUUUUGCCUCUGGAGAGAAGUCAGCAGAAGACAGGAUUUCCUGGCUGUUAAAAGUGAAGGCAAAUAUGCGGGGGGGGGGGGGGGGGGGGGUAGAUUAGGCGCCUGCCUCCAGGGCAAACUGGCUACUGGUCAAACUCUCGGUCCCCUCUGCCCUUGUCCUGCCCGACCCUCCAGAACAGCAGCGCGUGUCCACUCCCAGUACUGUUCCCCACCGAUUAACAAUUCCUCCCGUUUGGCAUGUUCCUGUGAAACUCUCUUCGCAACACCUUGAAAUACAACUUCUGUGAGCUGUACAUGUAUCUUGCCUCAAUAUUUUCCUUGUUGCCAUCGGUUUGGUUCUGAGUGUCUCAUUAGUAAGACAGGCGAGACGGCAAAACACAGAAUGCUAAACAUUGCAUCCUUCUGUGCCUUUUUUUUUCCUGGAAGGAGAGGGAAGGAGUCUUCCCGAUUUCAGAAUUCUUGGUUUUCCCAGGUAUCUAUCACAGAAAUACCAGAACCAUUUCAAGUCAUUCUCCUCUGGUGGUAUCUCCUAAAAUUCAUUUCCAUGCUGCUCCUUCACGCAACAGAACUAAAAAGAUCUGCAUUUUGUUCAGAAGCCAGUGAUUCAGAAGCAGGGGUUAUUUAAAGAUCCUUUUCAAUUUCCUAUUUUGUUUUAACAUGUGAUUUGGCCAAGAAAAGAGAGGGCAUUCAAAGAACUUUCUUUGUAAUUUAAGAUUUCAUGAAAGGGAUGAUGGGUGAGAAGUUGAAACCAGAAGGAACAUGAUUUAUAAUAAUCGUCUCUCUUAAAAUACACACACAUACACAUAUGCAAAUAAGUAUGCAUAUGUUUAUAGUGAUGUGUGAUGAGGAAAAAAACCGACAAGGACCCCUUCUUUCACUGCAAAAUUGAUAAACUGUAACUAAAUCUUUGUUAGAGCCAAGCUUAAAAUAAGAACCAAAAAGUGCCCAGAUAUAAAGCGACAAGAAUUCAGUGUGUGAAAGAGAAGCCUUGUGGGCGGAGGUCGGGGGAGAAAACAGGGCUCCAACUCCAUGCAAGGGCAGGACCCAUAAAGGAUCCGGCUGCAAAAGGCUCAGAAGCGUCAAGUGCUCCCACCUCCCACCCCACUACAGAAGCCCAACUGCCCAGAACAAAGGCAAACUUCUGAUUUGGGACUGGGAGCAGCAGGUACUUGUGAGAAACCAAGAAGACCCACACACUAGCAUCUAACUAUUUUUCACCACCACAAGAUGAGAAACAGCAACACAGAUCUAAUCCACUAUAAUCACUGUAGAGUUGGCACAGGAAACCCCCAAAUUACUCUGUACAGUAGGGGCACAAACCACUCACAAAAUAAACAACCCUU
rnacentral:lncRNA from 1 species